rnacentral:rRNA from 1 species
GAUGAACGCUGGCGGCGUGCCUAAUACAUGCCAGUCGAGCGAACAGAUGAGGAGCUUGCUCCUCUGACGUUAGCGGCGGACGGGUGAGUAACACGUGGAUAACCUACCUAUAAGACUGGGAUAACUUCGGGAAACCGGAGCUAAUACCGGAUAAUAUAUUGAACCGCAUGGUUCAAUAGUGAAAGACGGUUUUGCUGUCACUUAUAGAUGGAUCCGCGCCGCAUUAGCUAGUUGGUAAGGUAACGGCUUACCAAGGCAACGAUGCGUAGCCGACCUGAGAGGGUGAUCGGCCACACUGGAGCGGAGACACGGUCCAGACUCCUACGGGAGGCAGCAGUAGGGAAUCUGCCGCAAUGGGCGAAAGCCUGACGGAGCAACGCCGCGUGAGUGAUAAAGGUCUUCGGAUCGUAAAACUCUGUUAUUAGGGAAGAACAAAUGUGUAAGUAACUAUGCACGUCUUGACGGUACCUAAUCAGAAAGCCACGGCUAACUACGUG